rnacentral:lncRNA from 1 species
UCAGGCUGCUAUGAAGAAAUACCCAAGACUGGGUACUUUCUCAACUUUCAAAUUGAGCUGUUCAGAAUGUGUGAAACAAUUUUAAGAUGAAGUCAAAGAUACUUGAAGCAGAAGCUGUAUCUGAGGAAGCUGUAUAUAAACCCAAUUUAAAGCAAGUAAGUAGGUCAAUAUGAUUCCAGAAAACAGGCAUUGCCAUUAGAAGACAAUUAUUUAGUAUUCACAACCUUUUUCUUGGGACAUUUAAAAUUAGAAACAGAUUGGAGCGGUAUGUCUGCAUGUAUCAUCCAACUAACAAAACAACAAAUGCCUUAGGUAAGAUGGCUCAUUUCAGAAAGAUAUUUUUAAAUGAGAUUGAGUAGGACUGGGGCAAAAUAUCUUAUAGGUAAGAAAAAAAGAGUACGGAUUCAAUGGCUAAAAGAAAGAACAAACAAACAAAAACAAAAUAGAAACAGAAAAAAAACCUGCCAGAAAAGAGAAAACAAUCCUAGGAAUAGAGUAUUCAUUAGAAUAUAAGAGACUAGUAAAAUUAAAUUGUAGAGAUUAGGUAGAAACUUAAAUACAGAAAAUUAUAGUGCUGAAUUAAAAAUGAACUUUUAUGAAUCCUGAGUGCCCAGUCAUUCCCACAACUCUACAUGUCAGUGGAACUUGGAUAUAACAGAGAACUGGACAUUGUGACUGCCACAUGAUUAUACUUAAAGGCAUGGUUAAAUAAUCUUAAUGAAAAAUACCCUGAAUAGAGAUGUACUCAGAAUGUUGAAAAGAAAAAAAAGACUAGGGAAAACAAUUAAUAAUCUGGCUUUUAAUUAUCUGUAUGUGUGUGUGGAACUAAGAUAGAAUAAAACCCUAAAUGUCCCACUGACUAAAUUGAGAGUAGUGUCCCAGAAGUAGCCUUUCCUAUAUCCCACUCUCUGGAUAGCAAAUCGGUG